GACGAACGCUGGCGGCGUGCUUAACACAUGCAAGUCGAACGGAAAGGCCCUGCUUUUGUGGGGUGCUCGAGUGGCGAACGGGUGAGUAACACGUGAGUAACCUGCCCUUGACUUUGGGAUAACUUCAGGAAACUGGGGCUAAUACCGGAUAGGAGCUCCUGCUGCAUGGUGGGGGUUGGAAAGUUUCGGCGGUUGGGGAUGGACUCGCGGCUUAUCAGCUUGUUGGUGGGGUAGUGGCUUACCAAGGCUUUGACGGGUAGCUGGCCUGAGAGGGUGACCGGCCACAUUGGGACUGAGAUACGGCCCAGACUCCUACGGGAGGCAGCAGUGGGGAAUAUCGCACAAUGGGCGGAAGCCUGAUGCAGCAACGCCGCGUGCGGGAUGACGGCCUUCGGGUUGUAAACCGCUUUCGCCUGUGACGAAGCGUGAGUGACGGUAAUGGGUAAAGAAGCACCGGCUAACUACGUG
rnacentral:rRNA from 1 species